AUGGCCCCGGGAGAACGUGCUGGCCCCGGUCCUGGGGUGCUGGCCCCCGGGAGGGUGCGCUGGCCCCGGGGGCUGGCCCCGGUCCUGGGGUGCUGGCCCCCGGGAGGACGCGAUGGCCACGGGAGAACGUACUGGCCACGGUCUUGGCCCCCUGGAGGAUACACACUGGCCCCCGGUCCUGGGGGUCCUUGCCCCUGGGAGGAUGUGCUGGCCCUGGGAGGAUGUGAUGGCCGGUGCCCGUUGCUGGCCCCGAUCCUGGGGUGCUGGCCCCGGGGUAACGUGCUGGCCCGGGGCUACUGGCCCGGUCCUCGUGGUGCUGGCCCCCGGGAGGAUGCAGCAGUCACAGCCCUGGGGUACAGCCCCAGGGUGCUGCCGGGGGGGGAUGUGCUUGCCCCCCAGGGAGGGAUGCUGGCCCCUGGCUGCCCCUCUCCAGCCGUGUGGUGUCACCCCGGGGUGGUGUCACGGGGCCCAGACCCCCCGGGGGACGCUGGGGGCAGAGCCGGGGUGGCCACAGAGGGGACCAGGACAAGAAGGCCAGUCCCCACUGGUGCCGGUGUGGGUGGAAGGUGUCCCAGCAGCGGUGUGACACAUGGCCGUGUGACACGGGGCCCCCCUGUCCUGGGGGAGCUGGUGGCCGGGGUGUCACAAACACAGCGGGAGCAUCCCUGGGGACGGGGUGGAAACCGUGUCACCGAGCAGGGACACGUCCCUCGUCCCUUGUGUGUGGGGGGGUGUGGGCUCCGACCGGCAUCCAACCCUCCGGUGUCCUGUUCCAGGAUGUUUCCCCAGUUGCCAGAGCUGGGGGUGGGUCCUGGACCCCCAUUUUUAGGGCCUGGCAGGGUCCCCCACACACACACUGGGGGGCUCGGGUGCUGCCGGUGGCAGGGGGAGGAGAGGGGUUUUCCCCAGGAGCACUUUUUGCAAAGCUCCCGAAUAUUUCCCUGGAGGGAGGGCUCCCCCAUCCCAGCAGGAGGAAUUUUUUUUUGGGGGGGGGGAGAGGAGGGAGGGAAGGACGAUGCUGGGGCUGGAGGAAGGGCCACGUCCCCUCCUGCUGCCAAGGAGGGAAAAACAUGGCUGGGUGAAACCAGAUAA
rnacentral:lncRNA from 1 species